rnacentral:rRNA from 1 species
GACAGAGGUGCCGAGCGUUAGGCGGAAUCACUGGGCUUAAAGCGUGUGUAGGCGGACUUCUAAGUACCUUGUGAAAUCCCACGGCUCACCCGUGGAACUGCUGGGUAUACUGGUCGUCUUGAGCCACCUAGGGGCGAGCGGAACAAAUGGUGGAGCGGUGAAAUGCGUAGAUAUCAUUUGGAACGCCAACGGUGAAAACAGCUCGCUGGGGGUGUGCUGACGCUGAGACACGAAAGCCAGGGGAGCGAACGGG